UUUAUGGAGAGUUUGAUCCUGGCUCAGGAUGAACGCUGGCGGCGUGCCUAAUACAUGCAAGGCGAGCGAACAGAUAAGGAGCUUGCUCCUUUGACGUUAGCGGCGGACGGGUGAGUAACACGUGGGUAACCUACCUAUAAGACUGGAAUAACUCCGGGAAACCGGGGCUAAUGCCGGAU
rnacentral:rRNA from 1 species